UACGGAGGGUGCAAGCGUUAUCCGGAUUCACUGGGUUUAAAGGGUGCGUAGGCGGGCUGGUAAGUCAGUGGUGAAAUCUCCAAGCUUAACUUGGAAACUGCCGUUGAUACUAUCUGUCUUGAAUACUGUGGAGGUGAGCGGAAUAUGUCAUGUAGCGGUGAAAUGCUUAGAUAUGACAUAGAACACCAAUUGCGAAGGCAGCUCACUACACAGCCAUUGACGCUGAGGCACGAAAGCGUGGGGAUCAAACAGG
rnacentral:rRNA from 1 species